UAGUCAAACCUAUACUAAACUUUCGUCACUAUAAUCACGUACCAAACCAAAAGUAUAAUGAUGAAAAGUACAUUACUCCCACCGCCCCUGUUUCUCUUUUCUCUUCUCAAUUUGAUGUCUCGAAUCUGGAGCUACAAAUUCCAAAUUUAGAAGUACAGAUCAUGACUCCAACUUCUUCUCUCUCUUCCUAAUUCACAUCUCUCCCUCUUUCUCACAGAAAACACAAGUCAGAAACAAAACAAAACCAACUCCCAUCUCUCUCGUCCCAAAAACUUUCCCCCGGCGAAAAUUGGCGCCGCCUCACGUCCUUCCGUCGAAGACCAGCCGCUGCUUCUUCCACCGCCGCGGCGCUACUGCCUCUGGCCGUCGUCUUCGUUUCACACGCCGAGCCGCCGCAACUUCCAUCGCAGCCGCAGCCACACCUCCUUCGCUACUCUUUUCUCCCGGCAGAUUUUCAGUUGAGACAAAGGCUAAACGUAAAAGAUUGAAACUUUGUUCAGAGCACACGAUGAUUCAGGAUUAUCCUAAAUGAAUGCAAGGAAUUCAUUGCUGAGAAUUGACCGAUGAUUACCUUCUUAGACGGCCGAAAACUCUCUUCUCUAACUCAGUUCUUUCUCUAUAUUUUUUUUUUCAAGAUUUAUGAAUGGUGGAACACGUGUGAUGUGGUAGAACAUGUAUAUAUAUAGAGAGAAUUCGGAAUAAGGGAUUAAUUUCGCUGACCUUUCGUAAUUUGGGAUCGUGGCAUGCAUAUUUUUCA